GAUGAACGCUGGCGGCGUGCUUAACACAUGCAAGUCGAACGGACAGGUACUGCUUUUGUGGGGUGCACGAGUGGCGAACGGGUGUGUAACACGCGAGUAACCUGCACCUGUAUGUGGGAUAACUUCAGGAAACUGGGGAUAAAACAGGAUAGGAGCUACUGCUGCACGGUGGGGGAUGGAAAGUUUCGGCGGUUGGGGAUGGACUAGCGGCUUAUCCGCUUGUUGGUGGGGUAGUGGCUUACCAGGUCUUUGACGGGUAGCCGGCAUGAGAGGGUGACCGGCCACAUUGGGACUGAGAUACGGACCAGACUCCUACGGGAGGCAGCAGUGGAGAAUAUUGCACAAUGGGGCGAAGCCUGAUACAACAACGCCGCGUGCGGGAUGACGGCCUUCGGGUUGUAAACCGCUUUCGCCUGUGACGAAGCGUGAGUGACGGUAAUGGGUAAAGAAGCACCGGCUAACUACGUG
rnacentral:rRNA from 1 species